rnacentral:rRNA from 1 species
AGUCAAGUAAUUAAGUGCAUGUGGUGGAUGCCUUGGCAGUCAGAGGCGAUGAAAGACGUGAUAGCCUGCGAAAAGCUCCGGGGAGGCGGCAAAUAUCCUUUGAUCCGGAGAUGUCUGAAUGGGGGAACCCACCUACUUUAAGGUAGGUAUUGCAACAUGAAUACAUAGUGUUGCAAGGCGAACGAGGGGAAGUGAAACAUCUCAGUACCCUUAGGAAAAGAAAUCAAUUGAGAUUCCCUCAGUAGCGGCGAGCGAACGGGGAUCAGCCCAUUAAGUUAUGUGUGUUUUAGUGGAACGCUCUGGGAAGUGCGAACGUAGAGGGUGAUAUUCCCGUACACGAAAGGGCACACAUAAUGAUGACGAGUAGGGCGAGGCACGUGAAACCUUGUCUGAAUAUGGGGGGACCAUCCUCCAAGGCUAAAUACUCCUGACUGACCGAUAGUGAACCAGUACCGUGAGGGAAAGGCGAAAAGAACCCCUGUGAGGGGAGUGAAAUAGAUCCUGAAACCGCAUGCAUACAAGCAGUGGGAGCACCUUCGUGGUGUGACUGCGUACCUUUUGUAUAAUGGGUCAGCGACUUAUAUUCAGUAGCGAGGUUAACCGUAUAGGGAGCCGUAGAGAAAUCGAGUCUUAAUAGGGCGUUUAGUUGCUGGGUAUAGACCCGAAACCAGGCGAUCUAUCCAUGAGCAGGUUGAAGGUUGGGUAACACUAACUGGAGGACCGAACCCACUGUCGUUGAAAAGCCAGGGGAUGACUUGUGGAUAGGGGUGAAAGGCUAAUCAAGCCUGGUGAUAGCUGGUUCUCCCCGAAAGCUAUUUAGGUAGCGCCUCGGACGAAUACCAUAGGGGGUAGAGCACUGUUUCGGCUAGGGGGUCAUCCCGACUUACCAAACCGAUGCAAACUCCGAAUACCUAUGAGUACUAUCCGGGAGACAGACUGCGGGUGCUAACGUCCGUAGUCAAGAGGAAAACAAUCCAGACCGCCAGCUAAGGCCCCAAAAUCAUAGUUAAGUGGGAAACGAUGUGGGAAGGCAUAGACAGCUAGGAGGUUGGCUUAGAAGCAGCCACCCUUUAAAGAAAGCGUAAUAGCUCACUAGUCGAGUCGGCCUGCGCGGAAGAUGUAACGGGGCUAAAACUAUGUGCCGAAGCUGCGGAUGUAUACUUUGUAUACGUGGUAGGGGAGCGUUCUGUAAGCCGAUGAAGGUGUGUUGAGAAGCAUGCUGGAGGUAUCAGAAGUGCGAAUGCUGACGUGAGUAACGACAAAACGGGUGAAAAACCCGUUCGCCGAAAGACCAAGGGUUCCAGUCCAACGUUAAUCGGGGCUGGGUGAGUCGACCCCUAAGGCGAGGCCGAAAGGCGUAGUCGAUGGGAAAAUGGUUAAUAUUCCAUUACUUCUGUGUAAUGCGAUGAGAGGACGGAGAAGGCUAAAUCAGCCUGGCGUUGGUUGUCCAGGUGAAAGGAUGUAGGCAUGUAUCUUAGGCAAAUCCGGGGUACUCUAUGCUGAGAUCUGAUAGCAAGCUGUACUUGUACAGCGAAGUGGUUGAUGCCAUGCUUCCAGGAAAAGUCUCUAAGCUUCAGUUACACAGGAAUCGUACCCGAAACCGACACAGGUGGUCAGGUCGAGUAGACCAAGGCGCUUGAGAGAACUCUGCUGAAGGAACUAGGCAAAAUGGUACCGUAACUUCGGGAGAAGGUACGCUGUUGUUGGUGAUGGAACUCGCUUCCUGAGCUGACGACAGCCGCAGAAACCAGGCCGCUGCAACUGUUUAUUAAAAACAUAGCACUCUGCAAACACGAAAGUGGACGUAUAGGGUGUGAUGCCUGCCCGGUGCUGGAAGGUUAAUUGAUGGGGUUAGCGUAAGCGAAGCUCUUGAUCGAAGCCCCAGUAAACGGCGGCCGUAACUAUAACGGUCCUAAGGUAGCGAAAUUCCUUGUCGGGUAAGUUCCGACCUGCACGAAUGGCAUAAUGAUGGCGGCGCUGUCUCCAGCAGAGGCUCAGUGAAAUCGAAAUCGCUGUGAAGAUGCAGUGUACCCGCGGCUAGACGGAAAGACCCCGUGAACCUUUACUGCAGCUUGACACUGAACUUUGACCUUACUUGUGUAGGAUAGGUGGGAGGCUUUGAAGCUGGAACGCUAGUUCCAGUGGAGCCGUCCUUGAAAUACCACCCUGGUAAUGUUGAGGUUCUAACUCUGUCCCGUGAUCCGGGACGAGGACCGUGUCUGGUGGGUAGUUUGACUGGGGCGGUCUCCUCCUAAAGAGUAACGGAGGAGUACGAAGGUGCGCUCAGCGUGGUCGGAAAUCACGCGUAGAGUAUAAAGGCAAAAGCGCGCUUAACUGCGAGACCCACAAGUCGAGCAGGUACGAAAGUAGGUCUUAGUGAUCCGGUGGUUCUGUAUGGAAGGGCCAUCGCUCAACGGAUAAAAGGUACUCUGGGGAUAACAGGCUGAUACCGCCCAAGAGUUCAUAUCGACGGCGGUGUUUGGCACCUCGAUGUCGGCUCAUCUCAUCCUGGGGCUGAAGCAGGUCCCAAGGGUAUGGCUGUUCGCCAUUUAAAGAGGUACGCGAGCUGGGUUUAGAACGUCGUGAGACAGUUCGGUCCCUAUCUACCGUGGGCGCUGGAAAUUUGAGAGGAUCUGCUCCUAGUACGAGAGGACCAGAGUGGACGAACCUCUGGUGUACCGGUUGUGACGCCAGUCGCAUCGCCGGGUAGCUAUGUUCGGAAGGGAUAACCGCUGAAAGCAUCUAAGCGGGAAGCCUACCUCAAGAUAAGAUUUCCCUAGGACUUUAUGUCCUCUAAAGAGCCGUUCGAGACUAGGACGUUGAUAGGUUGGAUGUGGAAGCAUAGUGAUAUGUGAAGCUGACCAAUACUAAUUGCUCGUGAGGCUUGACUAU